UCGGGAAUUUUGGGCAAUGGGCGAAAGCCUGACCCAGCAACGCCGCGUGAAGGAUGAAGUAUUUCGGUAUGUAAACUUCGUAAGAAUAGGAAGAAUAAAUGACGGUACUAUUUGUAAGGUCCGGCUAACUACGUGCCAGCAGCCGCGGUAAUACGUAGGGACCAAGCGUUGUUCGGAUUUACUGGGCGUAAAGGGCGCGUAGGCGGCGUGGUAAGUCAUCUGUGAAAUCUCCGAGCUUAACUCGGAACGGUCAACUGAUACUGUCAAACUAGAGUACAGAAGGGGCAAUCGGAAUUCUUGGUGUAGCGGUGAAAUGCGUAGAUAUCAAGAGGAACACCUGAGGCGAAGGCGGGUUGCUGGGCUGAUACUGACGCUGAAGCGCGAAAGCUAGGGUAGCAAACGGGAUUAGAUACCCCCGUAGUCCCUGAGCGGGCUGGCAAGGCGCAU
rnacentral:rRNA from 1 species